rnacentral:rRNA from 1 species
UACGGAGGGUGCAAGCGUUGUCCGGAAUCACUGGGCGGAAAGGGUGCGCAGGCGGGGCAGCAAGUCGGAGGUGAAAGCCCAUGGCUCAACCAUGGAAGUGCCUUCGAAACUGUUGCUCUUGAGUCCCGGAGAGGCUGCCGGAAUUCGUGGUGUAGCGGUGAAAUGCGUAGAGAUCACGAGGAACACCAGAGGCGAAAGCGGGCAGCUGGACGGGUACUGACGCUCAGGCACGAAAGCGUGGGGAGCAAACAGG